rnacentral:tRNA from 2 species
UUGCUCCAUAGUUCAGCGGUAGAAUAGCACACUGUUAAUGUGAUGGUCCCUGGUUCGAUCCCAGGUGGAGCAGUC